GACGAACGCUGGCGGCGUGCUUAACACAUGCGAGUCGAACGAUGAAGCCUAGCUUGCUAGGUGGAUUAGUGGCGAACGGGUGAGUAAUACGUGAGUAACCUACCUUUAACUCUGGGAUAAGCCUGGGAAACUGGGUCUAAUACCGGAUACGACCAAUCUCCGCAUGGGGUGUUGGUGGAAAGCGUUAUGUAGUGGUUAUAGAUGGGCUCACGGCCUAUCAGCUUGUUGGUGAGGUAACGGCUCACCAAGGCGACGACGGGUAGCCGGCCUGAGAGGGUGACCGGCCACACUGGGACUGAGACACGGCCCAGACUCCUACGGGAGGCAGCAGUGGGGAAUAUUGCACAAUGGGCGCAAGCCUGAUGCAGCGACGCCGCGUGAGGGAUGACGGCCUUCGGGUUGUAAACCUCUGUUAGCAGGGAAGAAGAGAAAUUGACGGUACCUGCAGAGAAAGCGCCGGCUAACUACGUG
rnacentral:rRNA from 1 species